rnacentral:rRNA from 1 species
UCGAUUCCCUUAGUAGCGGCGAGCGAAACGGGAAGAGCCCAAACCAACAAGCUUGCUUGUUGGGGUUGUAGGACACUCUAUACGGAGUUACAAAGGACGACAUUAGACGAAUCAUCUGGAAAGAUGAAUCAAAGAAGGUAAUAAUCCUGUAGUCGAAAAUGUUGUCUCUCUUGAGUGGAUCCUGAGUACGACGGAGCACGUGAAAUUCCGUCGGAAUCUGGGAGGACCAUCUCCUAAGGCUAAAUACU